rnacentral:lncRNA from 1 species
GUGGAAUAUUUUUUUCAUUUACCCCAAUAUUUAUUUCAUUUUUUUUUUAGUUCUGCACCCUUAUUCUUCCGGUUUUCCCUUAAUUUGGACAUUAAACUUAGUUUACAUCUUCUUUUACCCAGUUGUCCUAUUCCGCCCAGUGCAGAGGGAAGGAGCAGGGAUUGCUGCAGAUGUAGACGGCAUGCAGGAAGUGCAGGUUAGAAAUGUAGGAAGUACUCUAUAUGUGCACUAUUGACAAGGGUGGUGGUUACUUAACCCUAUAUGUGCAAGAAGUAGAGCAACACAAUGCAUUGUGAACCCCCUGCAAUUACACAUUUACCUUUACAACCUAUGAAGCUAUGAUAGGACAGUAUUCAAUAAGGAUAUCUAAGGACAUGAUUACAGAGACAGAAACUCUGGAUCCAGAAAAAGAGUGAAAACUAUUGGUGUUUGGCCGCAUUUUUAUUACCUUUUGACCAGAUUAUUUCCUGCUCAUCUUUUCAAGGCAACGUAUUAAAAUACACAGCAUAUAUCAAUGGCUGUACCCGCGGGACCCUGUUCCAUGGCAGUGUCCUUCCUGCAAGGACCUUGUAAGUGAAGCGUCCCAUCUUGCUGGACCCUCCAUCCCAUGGGGCUGUUUGGAGGUGCCUGCUAGGAGUCGGGAGGGCAGAGGAGAGGGUGGAUGAUGCUUAUACCAUCACUGGGCCUGUUCUGUCUCUCUUCUCCUGCAUUAGAGAUUGGCUCUGAGAGAGGGGAAGGCGGUUGCAGCAUAAUAUUACCUUGUGAUUCUAUGACCCUCCUCUAUGCAUCCCUAACUCUCAAAAGCUGAUUCAGCUUUCAGCUCGUGCUCUGGUGACUCCGCUGCUGCAACCGACUCUUCUAUCAGGGUAUGUCUCUCUCCCCUCACACACCCUCCUUUUUCUAUGCUGUUCUCUUUUAGUUAGCUUGCUUUAAAUAUCAUAGAAUAUUACCUGCUCCAUUCAAACUUGCCUGAUGACUUUGAAUGAGCAUCUUUUAGAGGUUGGAUGUUUGAGCGCUGCAUGCAAAGGCUUAUUUGGGUGAUUGUGCAGAAAGAUGCUUCUCAAUGCAGAAUUCUGCCGAGCCAGCAAUUGAAGUGGAUGCAUAAAGGCUGAAAUCUUACAAGUUUGGCGUGUAAUCAUUUGGUGUGGUUAUCAUGUUCUGUGCUAGUGGAGGCCUGUGUUGUGAGAUGCUCCAGGGAAG